rnacentral:lncRNA from 1 species
UAUGAAGAUAGUCCCGUUUCCAAGAAAUCCUCAAAGCUCUCCAAAUAUCCUCUUGCAGAUUCUACAAAAAGAGUGUUUCAAAACUGCUCUAUCAAAAGAAAUGUUCAACUCUGAAGUUGAGUAAACACAUCACAAAGUAGUUUCUGAGAAUGCUUCUGUGUAGUUUUUGUGGGAAGAUAUUUCCUUUUUCACCUUAAGCCUGAAAGCAAUCCAAAUGUCCACUUCCAGACACUACAAAAAGAGUGUUUCAAACCUGCUCUAU